rnacentral:rRNA from 1 species
GACGAGGGAUCCUAGCGUUGUUCGGAAUCAUUGGGCGUAAAGCGGGUGUAGGUGGGCUUCUAAGUCAGUUGUGAAAUCCCAGGGCUCAACCCUGGAAGUGCAUUUGAUACUGGAAGUCUUGAGUGUGGUAGAGGUUACUGGAAUUGUUGGUGUAGUGGUGAAAUACGUAGAUAUCAACAGGAAUACCGGAGGCGAAGGCGAGUAACUGGGCCAACACUGACACUGAGACCCGAAAGCGUGGGGAUCAAACAGG